GGGCCGAGCGCCGGGCGGGGAUGCGCGCUGCGCCGCGCCGCCAUGUCGCGGGUGAGCGGCCCCGGGCCGGCCGGCAGCGCCAAGGAGAAGCGCUCCUUCAGCAAGCGGCUUUUCCGCGGGAGGGCGGCGGGCGGCGGCGCGGGCUCGGCCCCGACCGCCACCCCGGCCCCAGCGCCGUCCGGGCGGUCGCUCGGCGGGUUCAUGAGCCGCGUGCUGAAGACCCUCUCCACGCUCUCGCACUACAGCAGCGAGCCCGAGCCCCGCGGCGCGCUCGCCCCGCGCCUGCCCCCGCCGCAGGCGACGGGCGGCCUGGGCAGCUGCUUCCCGCCGGGCCCGCCGCGCAGCCCCGAGCCCCCGCCGCGCCCCGCCGGCACCUCCGAGGCCGUGCCCGGCGUGGCGGGGCUGCGCAACCACGGCAACACCUGCUUCAUGAACGCCAUCCUGCAGUGCCUCAGCAACACCGAGCUCUUCGCCGAGUUCCUGGCGCUGGAGCAGUUCCGCGGCGGGCCGCCCCCCGCCGACGGGCCGCCGCCCGCGCCCGGCGAGGUCACGGAGCAGCUGGCGCAGCUGGUGCGGGCGCUCUGGACGCUCGAGUACACCCCGCAGCACAGCCGCGACUUCAAGAACAUCGUGUCCAAGAACGCCAUGCAGUACCGCGGGAACGCCCAGCACGACGCCCAGGAGUUCCUGCUCUGGCUGCUCGACAGAGUCCACGAGGAUUUGAACAACGUGGUGAAUUCUGGUGGCAUGCCUCCACUCAAGCCACCGCUGGAGGAUGAUGUGCUGCUGGAGGGCCCAGCCUUUCCCAUCAGUAGCACGUUUGUGCAGGAACUCUUUCAAGCCCAGUACAGGUCCUCCCUGACGUGCCCUCAUUGCCAGAAGCAGAGCAACACCUUUGACCCUUUCCUGUGCAUCUCGCUGCCGAUCCCUCUGCCGCACACCCGGCCCCUCUAUGUCACCGUGGUGUACCAGGGCAAGUGCUCGCACUGCAUGCGCAUCGGGGUGGCCGUGCCCAUCUCCGGAACAGUGGCCAGGCUGAGGGAGGCGGUCUCCUCGGAAACCAAGAUACCCACGGAGCAGAUCGUGCUGACAGAGAUGUACUACGAUGGGUUCCAUCGCUCCUUCUGCGACACCGACGACUUGGACACCAUCCACGAGAGCGACUGCAUCUUUGCCUUUGAGACCCCAGAGAUCUUCAGGCCUGAGGGCAUCCUCAGUCAGAGAGGAAUACAUGUGAACAAUAACCUGAAUAACUUGAAAUGUGGCACUGAGCACUCCCGAACAAUAGCUUACUCUCAAGGAACGGUGAAGUCUGGAAAACUGGAACAGUCCUGUCCCAAACUAGCAGCAAAUGACAAGAUUGUCUUGUUGGUGUGCAACAGAGCGUGCACUGGACAGCAGAGCAAAAGGUUUGGCUUGCCCUUUGUGUUGCACUUGGAAAAAACAAUUGCUUGGGAUAUUCUGCAGAAGGAAAUACUGGAGAAGAUGCAGUAUUUCCUGCGGCCUGCAGCCUGCUUGCAGGUUUGCCCCUUCAGCCUGCGAGUGGUCAGUGUUGUGGGCAUAACAUACUUGCUACCUCAGGAGGAGCGACCCCUCUGCCACCCAACAGUGGAAAGGGCAUUGAAGUCAUGCGGACAGGGGGGAACUGCUCAUGUGAAAUUAGUGGUAGAAUGGGACAAAGAAACUAAAGAUUACUUGUUUGUGAAUACAGAAGAGGAAUAUAUUCCAGACUCUGAAAGCGUCCGCCAGCAGAGAGAGCUUCAUCAUCAACCUCAGAUCUGCACUUUAUCUCAGUGUUUCCAACUGUACACCAAAGAGGAACAGCUUGCCCCAGAUGAUGCAUGGCGAUGCCCACACUGCAAGCAGCUGCAGCAGGGCAGCAUCACACUGAGCCUCUGGACCUUACCUGACGUUCUCAUCAUACAUCUCAAAAGGUUUAGGCAGGAAGGAGACCGAAGGAUGAAACUUCAGAACAUGGUUAAAUUUCCCUUGAGUGGCUUGGACAUGACUCCUCACGUUGUGAAACGCAGCCAGAGCAGCUGGAGCUUGCCAUCACACUGGUCACCUUGGAGGAAACCUUAUGGCCUCGGCAGAGAUCCUGAGGACUACAUCUAUGACCUGUAUGCUGUCUGCAACCACCACGGCACCAUGCAAGGCGGGCAUUAUACAGCAUAUUGCAAGAAUUCUGUUGAUGGCCAGUGGUACUGCUUCGAUGACAGUGAAGUUCAGCAACUUUCUGAAAGUGAAGUCUGCAAGCAGACCGCUUACAUCUUGUUCUACCAGCGACGCACAGCGAUCCCCUCGUGGUCUGCCAACAGCUCGGUGGCAGGCUCCACCAGCUCGUCGCUGUGCGAGCACUGGGUCAGCCGGCUCCCGGGCAGCAAGCAGCCCAGCGUCGCCUCGGCCGCCUCCUCGCGCCGCACCUCGCUCGCCUCGCUCUCCGAGUCCGUGGAGCUGACCGGGGAACGCAGCGAAGAUGACGGAGGAUUUUCAACUCGACCAUUUGUAAGGAGUGUCCAGCGUCAGAGCUUGUCAUCCAGAUCCUCUGUCACCAGCCCUCUGGCAGUGAGUGAAAAUGGUGUCAGGCCCUCGUGGUCACUCUCUGCAAAACUGCAGUUCCGCUCCAACUCCCCGUCGCGCUUCUCUGGAGACUCCCCAGUACAUACCUCUGCUUCCACUCUGGAGAAGAUUGGGGAAGCUGCUGACGAUAAAGUUUCCACCUCGUGCUUUGGCAGCCUGAGGAAUCUCUCUAGCAGCUACUUGGAGCCCUGUGACAGCAGCCGGCGGGAGCACAGGACAGCUCGCAGAGCCCCUUUGGCUGUCAUGGAAGGGGCGUUCAGGGAAGAGUCCGUUGUAAGGACAUCUAGCUCAGACCUUUCAGAUGGGUAUGGUAAAAGCUCUGUGCAGCCAGACAGGAAUCACCCUGCUCUGGACCCCUUUGAUAACAACAAUCAAAUUGCCUUUGUUGACCAGAGUGACUCUGUGGACAGCUCACCAGUGAAGGAGGUGAAAGCCCCAGCUGGGACGGGGCUGGCUGCAGAGAAGGCACAUGACACCCCUAAGAAGGGUCACAGCUCCAGAGGAGCUUCUGAGCCAGACAAAAGUUUGAGGAAGGGAAGGACAGUCUUAGCUACCCAAGAGACCAAAGUCUCUCACUCUUCUCCUCCACUGAAGAGUUCUCAGAAAGCUUCCCGGUCUAGAAGUAAGACAGAUUCCUCUAGGGUCAGCGGGCGACACGGGUCUCCUGCUCCCACGCAGGCUAGGAAGGACCACAGCACAAAGCCCCUGGAGGCAUCUGUCCCUUCAGCUCCACAGAAGCAGAAGUCAGGUUCUCCAUCCUCCACAGCUGCCAAGAAAACCCCGUCAGGCUCACUGACUAAGGGCUCUUCCUCCGGGAAGAGCCGGACUGCCGAGCGCAGCCUCAGCAGGGAGGGCUCCAAGGUCAGCCUGGGGUCGGAUAAAGCGAGCGUUACCAGCAGCUCCAGGACCAGCUCCCCACGGAUCAGCCACUCCAGGAGCGACAGCAGGGCGGUGGACAGCAAGCACGUGCGCAGCUCCUCCAUGGCCAACCUGCGCUCCCCGAACGUCGGGCCGCGUUCUGGCCUGAAGAGGGACAGCAAGUCGGAAGAGAAGGGUUUGUCUUUCUUUAAAUCAGCCUUAAGGCAGAAGGAGACACGGAGGUCGGCAGACCUGGGGAAGACAACAAUGCUUUCAAAAAAGACAGGGAGUGUCAGUUCCAAGUCGGGCAGCAAAAAUGUGCUGGAGGACAAACCGGAGAAAGGUGGCGUCCCACCAGCCUCUCAAACCAAUGCCAACAUUGCUACAAAAGAAAAAUUUGUCUCAAAAGAUGCCACAUCUAACAAACAUUCUCUGCUAUCCAGUCGCAAGUCCAAGUCUUCCCAGCUAGAUCCCGGAGUCCAGUCUCCUCCUUCCAGUGGCAAGCAGUCUGCUGACAAGCCGCUGAAAAAAAUACCUUCCAGCAUGCAGGUGUCUGUACGGCCUUCUCUGGAACCUCAGUGAAAUGCUGCAAUCCAGGUGUCUUUUCUUCUGCUGAGAAGCUAAUUUAUUCUGAGCUCUUGUUUUUUGUUCAUGUGCCUAAUGUAUGUUUUGAGGAGAAGUUAACUGCAAGUUGUUAAAGCGCCUUUGAUUCUGCCAUCAAACCAAAUAGCCACAGGCAGCCAGCACUGGUGCAAGUAGCCUAGCUGGAGUCGUUGUUGAACAUGAAUGCAGCUGUCCCAUAGCACUUGUACAGGAGUCUCUGUCGAAAGUGCAACAACUUUCUUCAGAUUUGAGGGUUGGGACCUGACCCCCAGUUGUACUGACACUGGUGUGCUUUGUAGAGCUGUGAACUGAUAUUCCUUUGGUCCUGUUCUGAGUGGGCUGUGUCCACACUGGUGUAUGGCCUUGUUCUGAGCUGUGGAGGAUGCGAAGGAAACUGGAGAGACUGUCGCUUCUUUCUGCUCUCAACUCCCUGUCCCUGCUCCCCUCCAUUUCCAAGCUUUCUAAAGGGCAAUAUUUCAACACUAAUGUUGUUUCUCAGGAGUUUAAACUGGAAGCUGGUGUGUGGGUUUUGAGGUGGUUUUGCUCCUGUGCUGCAUGCGUGACUGAAGGGAAUUUGAAGCCAUGUCCAAACCCACGUUUUAGCUGACCACCAGUUCAGUGUUUGUAUCUGUAGCAAGACAGUGGUCCUUGGAGCUCUCAUUUGGGUAGGAGGGAGAUGGAGGUCCUGGCAUUCCAGCAGCUGAUAAUAGUAAUUGAACCUCUGCAAUCCCAUGAGAUGCCAGUCUCACUCUCUUUCUGCACGUUCUCCAUAAUUCCUGAUGCUAUUGCUGCCAGCUCCAGCACUGUCUGCUCUCUCCAUGCAGCCAGGCUGGAUUCCUGUCCCUCUGGAGUGGCAGCUCUGUGCCCGGGCUCCGUGCCUGCAGAGGAGUGCGAGUGGGCAGCAGGGGCUGCCCUGACAGGCCCCUCGUCUCUGAGGUGGGCUGCUGCUCCUCCCUGCUGGCUUUCUGCUCACCAGGGCCUGGCUUGGGCUGUCCUCAAGCAAAGUGGUUUGACUCGCCAGGGCACACCGGAGUUCCUGGGGGAUGUAAGCCACGCUGGGCCGAGCGUGGAAGCGUGUGUGUGAGCCUUUGGGGACACACAGACACCCUGCUCGUGUCUGUGUCUGUAGCAGGCCCUGGGAGCAGCACUCCUGUCACUGACACUCUGCUUGUCAGUGGCACACAGCUUCAGCAUAAACGAGCUUCCUUGCACAGGAGAGGGUUGCAGGGUGUGGGUCUGGGAAACACGGUUCACUGGGUGUGUCAUCAAAGCCUUGUUGCUGUUACAGUCGUGACUCUGGCAGUGAAGUAGGAUAGAUGUUUCUGAAAUGGAAUGUAGGUUAUUACAGGCCCUACUUAAAGGGAUUUGGGGAAAAAUCAUCAGUCUUCUCUCCUUGCUUUAAAGCAGACUUCUCUCUUGUCCCUUUCACGUAUAGGAACUCCUGUCCAUGGUAUUGUGUUGUCCAGCUGCCAGGAUGUGGCAUGGUACCAGGGAACACUCGAGAGAGGGAUCUGCCAAGUCCUAGAUGCCAACACCACCGUGGCUUUGCAUAUGGAUCCUUCAAGCAGCAAUGGCUUGAGGCUCUUCUGGAGCAGCUGCAUUUACAUGGUCAUGUCUUAAAGUCCCUGCUGGCCAUCAGAAGCACUGGUGGCUGUGGGGGAGGUGGGCUCUGCCAUCUCCCAGAGGCUGCUGCUGCCCAGGGACCUCUGCCUCCCCUGGCUGGUGGCACGUAGGGCCUGGAAGUCUCGUGGGCAUCUGAGUGUGGUGGGAGCAGCUGCUGCCAGCUCUGUCCUGCCCUGCCUGUCUGGGGACGGCAGGGUCUGGGACCUUCUGCCGAGGUUUUGGAAGCAAAGGUAUGCCUCAUGGUGAUGGGAAAUGCCUGGGAAGGGGGAGGCCCAGCAGUGUCCCUGCUCCCAGACAGGUGAGCUCCAAGGCAAAGCAGGUGUUCAGGCAGUGUGUUUCCACUUGGCUUUGGGUUGGAGUUGCCUGUGCCAGCGUGUGACUUGCAUUUCACCCCACGUCCCUAGUCUGCCACUUGCUCCUGCUCCUGGAAUUGGCCCCCUGGGCGCAGGAGAGCAGCGCCUUCAUUCCAGUGCUCAAUUCCUGCAGGAGUCACCUAGAGACUUUUUUUUUACCCUUUUUGGGCUGUGUCUUUUGGACAGUGUUUAGUAGUAUUCAAGUUAUAAGCACAUUUUCGAUGAUGUGUAUUGAAGAGGCACCUUUUAUUUGUAUUAAUCACAUUUGAUAGACAAUUUGGUGCCUGCAGUUCUCUGUAACUUGUGUCUCACUUUGGGUGUGUAAAUUGUUAACCCUUUCACACUUAUCAAAUAUGAAUUAAUAAAAACAAGAUGCUUAGGAUAGAAAGCUAGCAGCUUAAUUGCACUUCUCCCACUGCAAGUGCCCUCAUGCGCCGUCGCUGCAGGGGUUUUGCUUCCUGAAGCUGAAACUUGAGCAUGCCCAACCACUUUCCUCGGUGCCAGGCAGCUUGCAUGGCCGUGCUGUCCCCUGCAUGUCCCUCCUAACUAUGCAAGCCUCAGCCCAGCGUGGCUCUGGAGCUGGUGCAGCUGCUGCUGGACACAGGAGCAUGUCCCUGGGCCCUGCUUCCUUUGCACAUCUUCGGCUCUUUCCUUUGCAGGAUUCCGCGUUGCUGACAAGGCUGGAGCGUAACGUAAGGUUAGAGGGAUUGGAGCAGGGAAAUGAGAACAGACUGAGUUCUGCUUUGUGUUGCUUUUCCUUUUGUUAGCAGGGCUCCUGCUCGGGGUCCUGUGUGCAGCCUGCUGUGCGUGCAGAGCGAGGGGCUGUGACGGGCACGCAGAGCUGCCGGGGUGUCCUCGAGAGGGGAGCGUUCCCUGCUGCCCACGCUGCUCCUGGGGCUUUGCCUGCCUGCCUGGGGCCCGGGCUGCUGGCUGUGCUGUGCUCUUGGCGUUUGGGCCGUGUCCUCUGGGCAGCCCUGUGUGCUGCUGGCCCCAGGGCUCCUCCUGCCUCUGCCCUGCAGCUCGGCGCCCUCCCCUUGGUCAGCUGGCAUGGAGAGUGUGUGGAAACAACAUUCCAGAUAAUUUCACUCUUGGGUGUUGUUUUGUGGUUUGUUUUUUAAUUUUUUAAAAUUUUAGUUUGGUUUGUUUGGUUUUUUUUUUUUAAAUCUUUAUCAUUUGCCUACUAAUCCAAAAGAAUUUGGCAGUAUCUAAUGAUACCUGUGGAGGGAACUGAAAUUUAGUUUUAAUCUGUGGUGAGAUGAAAGUCCUACAUGGUUUUCUCAACAAAAGCAUUGUAAAGCAGUUACUGUUAAGAGCUUUGUUUUGUAAAAGAAAAGCACCUGAAGACUUGUACAAUGUCUGUGUUAGAUCUAAAGGCUUAGGGACUCUAUUUUUUAAAAGGUGAUAGCACUCAAUUUAUCUGCAAAUAGUGUUUUUUAAAAGACACAGAUUAAAACUAAGCGUAACCACCAGUCCUGGCUCACCCAGCCCUGCAGUGCACGCGUGCUGGCCUCAGGCUCGUGUGCCAUUUGUGAGUGCAAUAACCCCUCUGGAGGUGCUACACUGCCUUGGGUAGGGUAACACAAGGGAAUCCAGGCCACCAGUGGCUCUGCUGUUGUCCUGUGGCCUUCCAAGUAUGAAUUUGUACAGAUUUGCUCACCACCUGUGCCUCACCAUUGGUUAAAAUUGAAUUUUAAGUCCUGUUGCAAAUGCAAUUUCUCUUCUGGACACAAUGUCAGGUUUUACACUGGAAUAUCUACAGUUCUCAAACUGCAUGUCACAUCACUGUACCUGGUACAGGGACGUGGGGCUUUCCCACAUCUUUGAUAUUCUCCUCUGUAUUUUAAUGUUUUUGACCUGUACAGUAAUUGGAAAGCAGGCUGUCUACUUGGGGUUGAACAUUGUACCAUAAAUUUUAAAUUAUUUGAGGACAACUGCAUGAGACUGUGUCAAUGCCUUUUAUUAUUUAUUUGUAUGUUUUAUUAUUCGAGGUGUAUGCACUUUUAAUAUGCAGAAUUUAUAUUUUUAUGUUAAAAAUCAUUUUC